GUAGAAGCGCAGAUUUCAGUUUAAUUCAGAAUGGGGUUGUAAUUCAGAUCUGACGCCACCCAUCUCAGUUUCAAGGUUUAAGUACCAACAUGCCUAUGGACAUUGGUUUUAGAAGAAUGUGAUAUCAAUCAGGUCUGCAAAUGCUUGCAUUCAAUUGCAAAUACCACCUUGGCAAGAAAUGUGACAAAGAGAGCAGCAAUAGAAACGCAUCCACAGCUGAUCCCGAUAUCGAUGUCCGAAUGGAAAAUGACAUUUCCCCCCAUGGAAAACUGUAGGCCACUCUCUCAUAUGAAUUUAGAAAGUCUUUAAACAAGUAUUAACAAAUUAAAAUGCAACAAUGUUCAAAAACAGAUACUAUACACAGACAAAUGGACUCUGAUAGUAUUCUAUGUGACUUAACUUGUAAAAAAUAAUGAAAUUCUUCAUGUAUGUAAUAAAACCUACAAAGAAAUAG